UAGGGAAUCUUCGGCAAUGGGGGGAACCCUGACCGAGCAACGCCGCGUGAGUGAAGAAGGUUUUCGGAUCGUAAAGCUCUGUUGUUAAGGAAGAACGAGUGUGAGAAUGGAAAGUUCAUACUGUGACGGUACUUAACCAGAAAGGGACGGCUAACUACGUGCCAGCAGCCGCAGUAAUACGUAGGUGGCAAGCGUUGUCCGGAUUUAUUGGGCGUAAAGCGAGCGCAGGCGGUCAAUUAAGUCUGAUGUGAAAGCCCCCGGCUCAACCGGGGAGGGUCAUUGGAAACUGGUUGACUUGAGUGCAGAAGAGGAGAGUGGAAUUCCAUGUGUAGCGGUGAAAUGCGUAGAUAUAUGGAGGAACACCAGUGGCGAAGGCGACUCUCUGGUCUGUAACUGACGCUGAGGCUCGAAAGCGUGGGUAGCAAACAGG
rnacentral:rRNA from 1 species